rnacentral:tRNA from 1 species
GGGUUUAUAGCUCAAGUGGUAAAGUGCAUGCUUAGCAUGCACCAGGUCCUGGGUUCAAUCCCCAGUAACCCCU